GUUUGAGAGAGAAAAACGUGAGUGGUCUCGAUCCAUGCCACGUCAACGACUAAAUAUAACAGUUUUGAGUUUUUUUUUUUUUAGGUAAAGGAGAGGCUGAGCCGUUUAAUUUAUUGGAUAUGUGAGAGAAGUAUGUACAUGAGAGCUAAAGAACAUAGUCAUGGAAUGCAUAAUGCGAAGACAGAAAAGAAAUAAUAGUCAGUGAUAAAGAAAUAGAAAACAAUGAACCAAGAGCGGCGAAUGGAGUGAAUCCUCAAUCUAUUUAGAUCCCUACAACUUGAUAUAUUUUGAUGUGCCGAUAAAGUAACCCAGUUGAGAUUUACCUCCUUUCCAUAAGAAUGGUUAUCUCAUCCAGCUUCAUUAUAGUAAUGAGGUGAGGAAAGAAAAGGCUCUCAUGUGGACUGAUUGUAGGCUAGAUACCUCUAACCAAAUAAAAAUUGCUGUAUAAAGGAUCUUAAUAUCAUUGUUUUUUAAGUUUUGGGUACCGAAGGAAUAAACGACCCUCACACCAUGCGGGACGGCCAAAACCCAACCCCAUCCGGCAAUUGCUUGGCAUCUACUUCUCGUGCAUCCCGUCAGCGAUUGACGGCUGGACAAGA
rnacentral:lncRNA from 1 species